GAGUACUCCACCUAUUGCAGAGUCCGAA
rnacentral:sRNA from 1 species